ACAAUCUUAGGGGUCCUGUUAGAAUCACAAAUACCCCGGAAGAUGGAACUAUUAUUGAAAAAGAAGUGCAAGACUACACUGAUGCAGAUUUUGAUAAAAUUGAAGAACAAGAAAAAGCACUGACAACUCUUACAAUGGCUCUAUCCCCUGUCAUCACUCAAGGAUUCAGGGAGUAUGAUUCUACCAUGGCACUUUGGGAAGUAUUGAAUGAGAUCUAUGAAGGUAAUGAAGACAUGAAACAGAGCAGACAAGACAUGCUCCGUUAAAAAUUCAACAUAUUCAAUCAGGUUCUCGAAGAGACACUGGAGGCCUAACUGCAGAGAUUUAUUACUCUUACCACCGAAAUGAGUACCGCCAGAAUUUUUGUGCCACAAUCAGAUAUAAACAAGAAACUGUUGAAUUCCCUUCCCAAGUCAUGGGAUAUGAAUGUCUCUGUUAUUAAGAAAACCAAAGAACUCAACAGACUCAUUCAUGCUGAAACAAUGGCUAUCAUCAAAGCUUGUGAUCUGGAUGAUAAGCAACGCGAGACAAACCAUGUGAAUUCCUACUCGACGGCAAAUUUGGGAAUUUCAUCGAACAAUGCUUUUUCAUCUUUCAUAGUUCCACAAAAGCUCACUAAACCACACCCGCAAUCCCAUGUUAUUCCAUCAUCCAUGCCUUAUCCACAAACCCUAUAUCUAAAUUUCAUUAACACAGGUGUGAACAUGGUGUUGGAACUUUGAAUUAGAAUGGGAUAAGAAUAGUGUUAAAGAAAUAAAUAACUAAAAUAUUUACAUAAAGAAUGAAAACUAAAGAAAUAAAAAAUAAAUUAAUUAAAUAAAGACAGCAAAUAAAAAAGUUAAUUUAGGGACCAACCAUGCAAAUUAAUCCAUGCCAUAAGGACCAUAUGUAUAAUUUACCCUAAUAUUUAUAAAGGGUUGGACCUAAAAAGACGAAAGCACUUAAACGAAAACAAUUAACGGCUAACGACAAUAAGGACUAACCGUGCAAAAAAAAUAAAUAAAUAAAUAAAAAAUAAACAAAUACAGAGACAAUCCCGUCCGAGUUAAUAUUUGAAAAUAUGGACUAAACUCAUGUUUUGACAUAUGUACGAAGAUGAAUGGUGUAAUUCAUUCUAGUUUUUACUAGUUCAACACAUAACAAUUUAGAUUUUAGAGCUAUCCAAUUUCACAUAGAAGUGACAAAUUUAUCAAUUUAGAUUUUAGAGCUAUCCAAUUUCACAUAGAAGAGAUAAAUUUAUGGCACUUGUUAACUAUCCACGGAUUAAUACCAAUAAGCUUUUAAAAUAUUGCCUAAUUGAUUAUUUAAUUAGUUUAAAUACUACAUAUUUCCCUUAUACUAGCAUUUUUCAUAUAGAAAAAGCAAAUAUAAACAAACCAUUACAAGGUCCAAAACGAUACUUUUAUAUGACAUAUCCGUUUAUACUACUUGCCAACCCUCAUGAUAAUCCGGUCCAAUUCGUAUAGACAUAUGAUCAAAAUAAAUGCAAAUAAAUAGCGUCAUAUCUGAAUCCAAACUUGACAACGCUGUAGCCUUAUGAUCAAAGGUAAAUAAGUAUAACCUUUUAUAUAUCACAAUAUGUACUUCAAGAAAAGAGGUAAAAUAGCGAGAAAAAAAAAUAGACAUUAAGGCCCCGUUUGAUACGCAUCUUUCAGGUCCAAACAAAUCUUUCUGACUAAAUGGACUGGAAAGACUGUUUGAUUUGCACAAAAGAAGGGGUAUUUUCAAUAAGAUAUGUCUUUUCCAGAAAGCCCCAAAAUCAUAUCUUUCUGGCUGAAUGGGUUGGAAAAACAAUUAUACACCAAACCCCGACUAUUUCUUUCUUUAUUGGAUUAUUGAUUUUUUUAAUUAACUUUUUUAAAUUUAUUUUUUUAUUGAAAUAUUACUUUUUUUCAUCAUUCAACACAGUCAAUCAGAUUUACAAUCAAACAACAUAGUUUCUUUCCCGGUCAGAAAACUUUACCAGACAGCACUUUCUCAGACAGAAACUAUCAAAGGGGACCUAAGCCUUCUGAGCAAGUCAUCUGACUAAACUUGGUUUUAUCUGCUCAAUUAUCUCUCAAAAGUGCAGCUCAUGUUGUAUUGACAUGCAACAAAUUUGAGAAUAUGCAAAAAUUGGUUACCAUGAGGUAUUAGCCCAAUUUUGAUAGCUCUUAAUACUUCAACAUUACUUUGGUUAAAACCAAAUGACGCUAACUUUAUUUGUUCAAAAGUAAAAGCUUUACGAGAUUUAAGAGUCUUAGAUUUGAACAAUAUCAAAUUUUUUGGAAAUAUACCCCAAUGGAUUGGAAAACAAAUUACACCUUAGAAAUCAUUCAAAUAAAACUUCACCGGUAGAACUCCUCGAUCUUUGUGCAAAACUGCAAGUCUUCAAACGUUGGAAAAUACAUAAGGUUGUUCAGGAACCAUCCCUCGUUGUCUAGGAAAGUACAUGUCAUGGAUCUUUGUUCCCUUAGCAAUAGUCUGCAAAUGUAGUUCUCUUAACCAUGACAUUCAACUCUCCUAGAAAACAAGGGAUGGUUCCACUAACAAGCUUAUAUGCAAGCUCUAAAACUUGAAGAUGUUUAAUACGAAGAUCGAGAAACCCGUUUUGUGAAAAUAUCUUUAUUCAUAAUCCAUGGAAGUGUAAGUUUUUCCCCAAACCAGUGGGGUAUAUUUCUAGAAAAUUAAUAAUCAUCCAAAUCUAAGAUUCAUAAAUCUCGUAUAUUAUACCGAUCUACAAAAAGUUCACCAAUAAAAUUAUCGUCAUUAGAUUUCAGCCAAACUAAUACUAACCACACAUGUGAUUUGAGCUAAAUCUCAUGGUUACCAACCUUUGAGUAACAGUAAUUGGACCAAAUUGUACCUGUUUCGCAAUUUAACAAGAAUCAUAUAACCUAUUAGAACAUGAAUAACAUUCUUAAAAUCCCAUAUAUGCUACACAAAAAGAAAAUAAUAUUAAUAACAGUAUCUCUUAUUGUAAACUGGUCCAACCGAUAUCGAAACAAACACCCAAAAUACCAAGUUUCAAAACUCAGAAAUCAAUUACCUGAUUCGGAAAUAAUUCAGUUGAUUAGUGUAAAUUUGAUAGCGAAAGAAAGACGAUUUACGUCGAAGAAAUUUUCCAAUUGGGCAGAGCGUAUGUCGGCACCUUAUCCUAUGACUUUCUGAAACCCUGGUAUCAGUGACCAGUUAUCAAAGACCGUACCAUAUCAAAUGAGCCAGUAGGCUA
rnacentral:lncRNA from 1 species